rnacentral:lncRNA from 1 species
UUCCAUUCAACAGGGAUGUGAUUUGAGAGCUCGUAUGGGGCUCUCUGCCCAGCAGCAUCUUCACUGCACUUUCACUUUCAUCUCCUCCCGAGAGAGCCUGUGAGUGGAGAGCAUCUGCAUGACCAAGACAUGAUGUUCACUUAUGCCUCCUUCCCUUUAAAAUGCUGAGUGGCCAAAUGGCAAGUGUGAAUUGAAGUUCGGCAAAUUCAAGAGGAUUGCUGUGGCCUGCCCAGUCUACUGUCUAUGAAGAUACCUAUGGAUGGCUGUGGUGGAAGAGCAGGUGAACUGAAAACACACUGCUGCACUCAGGCCUUGGAGAAAUGCUUCUUUGAGUCUUUGGAAACAGAAAGAAUAAGGUGUGCAAAGACCCACACUGGAGGCUCCUGGACUAGCUCACCUGCUCUUCUGACAUAUUUGAA